AUUGAACGCUGGCGGCAUGCCUUACACAUGCAAGUCGAACGGCAGCGCGGGGGCAACCCUGGCGGCGAGUGGCGAACGGGUGAGUAAUACAUCGGAACGUGUCCUGGAGUGGGGGAUAGCCCGGCGAAAGCCGGAUUAAUACCGCAUACGCUCUAUGGAGGAAAGCGGGGGAUCUUCGGACCUCGCGCUCAAGGGGCGGCCGAUGGCAGAUUAGCUUUCUGGGGUAAAGGCCUACCAAGGCGACGAUCUGUAGCUGGUCUGAGAGGACGACCAGCC
rnacentral:rRNA from 1 species